rnacentral:rRNA from 1 species
UACAGAGGUGCCGAGCGUUAGGCGGAAUCACUGGGCUUACAGCGUGUGUAGGCGGAUUUUUAAGUACCUUGUGAAAUCCCAUGGCUUAACCAUGGAACUGCUGGGUAUACUGGAUAUCUUGAGCCAACUAGGGGCUACCGGAACAAAUGGUGGAGCGGUGAAAUGCGUAGAUAUCAUUUGGAACGCCAAUGGUGAAAACAGGUAGCUGGGGUUGUGCUGACGCUGAGACACGAAAGCCAGGGGAGCGAACGGG